AACUUAAGCUGAGUAUAGUUGGGAAAGACAUUGCAAUAUGAGUUAGUAAAACCUAUUAGUAUGUUCAAAGAAAAAGAAGAAACUUCCAGAGCAUGUGCAACUAAUGACAUUCCGUUGCCUUUUCAUGUGGGAAAUAGCAAUGAAGAUGAAGAUGCUAAUCAAUAUAUUCUGAAUGGUAUAUCACUAUCAAACUUAGCAGCACAUGAUGAAAAAAAAGUAGCUCGAUCAUUUACUUCAUCUUUUCCAUAUUUUGUAAGGAUCAUGAAGAGCUUCAACGUUAGUGGUUCAUAUACUCUGUGGUGGGUUGCUACAUUCCCUAGUUCUUAAUUUGAGAAGGUUUUUAGUGAAAUGUAUUAUAAAUUGAGUUUUUAACAAUUACAAAUAUUACUUCCUCUAACCAUACGCAUGCAAAUAUAUACAUGUGGAUGUAAGUUACACACAUAAAACUUUUCUUGAUACUGAUUUCUGGUGGGAAUAAUGCAGAAUAUCCCGUAUCAGUUUUCGGUGGCACAUCUCCCAAACUGCAAGAUAAAGAUUAUCCUCUAUAAUUUGAAAGGAGAACAUUGAACUGUUAAUUCUGUGCCAUCAACAUGAGUGCAUACAAGUCACACUCUCUGUGGAGGAUGGAUGGCCUUUGUGCGUGGCAAUAACAUAAAGGUUGGAGACGUCUGCAUUUUUGAACUUGUGCAUGAGUGUGAAUUACUUGUUCGGAUUGCUAGAGGUGGAAAAGAUCUACAAGACCCGAUUGCGAAACCAGAU